GUUUUAACAUUUAAAAUAAAUACAGUUUCUGUAGUCUUCUAAUUUAUUUGUGUUCAGGUUUAGUUUUAAGUUCAUUCCUAAUACUGGACACAUACAGACCAACUUCUGCUACACAAAUUUCUUCUACUUUCUUAGUGCCAUAUACUAUAGCAGCACUGCCUAUUGAUGAAAAUGACGUUAUUAACAGAAAUAACAAUAACAAAUUGUUCUAUUAAUCCCUUAAACCUCCAGCAGCAUUAGGAUUAAAAAUUUAGUCAGGUGAAAAGGAUAACCAGACAUUCCUAUAGAAGAGACCAGACCCUGUUUUAGCAGAAGCUUGGGGUGUUUAGCCAGAUGUAUGCAUACUAUGCUUGUAACUCCAAUCUUACAAUGCUGUAAAAUAAUUUUGCAGGUAUUUUGUGUGUCAGGGUUUGUUUGAACCUUAAUCCACAACCACCAUCUAUAUUAAUGCUUCCAUCUGUGUUCUACCACCCAGAACAUAGUUGUGCUUAUACGACUGAGUGUCUUAGGUGGAAAUGGGGUACCUGUACUUUUGCACAUCUGCUUUCACAUUAAAAUUAGCCUGUUGAGAGGGAUUAUAACAGUAUGAAUGCAUAGCCUGAAAGAGUUCUGUUUCACAGAAUGUUCUUUAUUUGUAUCUUAAAGCCUCUUGCAUAUGAUUUGUGCAUACUCUUGCUCUGUUUGCAGACAUAGAAGUAGUCUCUGCAUAAUUUAAAAAAAAAAAGAGCACAGAGAUUUUUGUUGUGUGUUUUUGUUUGUUUUUUAGAACAAACUGCAGGGACUUUUUAGUGCAUUUGAACAGCUCUUCUUUCCGUAGUUGAAAGAAAAAUGUAAAUUUGUGUAAAUAUAAAUCAUAGGAGUGGAUUUACACUCAUGUCUUAAUUCUCCUCUGAGUCAAAGCUGCUUUGCACAGCUUUAUUUCCAGCUAUUACUGUAAGUGCAUGAUCAGAGCAAUUUACCUUCCACUGCACACACUGAGGAUCACUUUCACCCUCAAUGUACACAGGGAUUGCACGAGCAGCACAGCCAGUGAGGAAGAGACGUGGCUGGAUGCUUCCUGCAUCUCCAUCAUGUACAAAAGUCUAUAAAGUAAACAAACUUUACCAAGGAUUUCUACGAGGAUGCAUUAGACAUUUUUUUCCAGGUAUGUCAUUAAUAAUAAUAUAUAAUAAUAAUGAUAUAGUACACAUUUGAUUCUUUUCCUGACAGGUUUUUGUUGC
rnacentral:lncRNA from 1 species